UGACCAAUCAAGCUCUGCUUGGCCUUGGGGCCUGCUGUACCGGCGGCCCUUAAAAUCAGUGGCGGUGCCGUCUGGCUCUAAGCGUAGUAAUACUUCUCGCUAUAGGGUCUAGUCGUCCACCCGCCAGAACCCUCAACUUUCUUA
rnacentral:misc_RNA from 1 species